rnacentral:rRNA from 1 species
AAAGCGUGCGCAGGCGGUUUUGUAAGACUGUCGUGAAAUCCCCGGGCUCAACCUGGGAAUGGCGAUGGUGACUGCAAGGCUAGAGUUUGGCAGAGGGGGGUAGAAUUCCACGUGUAGCAGUGAAAUGCGUAGAUAUGUGGAGGAACACCGAUGGCGAAGGCAGCCCCCUGGGUCAAAACUGACGCUCAUGCACGAAAGCGUGGGGAGCAAACAGGAUUAGAUACCCAAGU